AAGUCGAGCGGUAUAGAGGGGCUUGCCCUUCUAGAGAGCGGCGGACUGGUGAGUAACGCGUGGGUGACCUACCUUGAGGCCGGGGAUAGCCGUUAGAAAUAGCGGGUAAUACCGGAUAAGCCUGUUUUGUUAUGACGAAGCAAGGAAAGGGGCUCUGGCCCCGCCUUAAGAUGGGCCCGCGUUCCAUUAGGUAGUUGGCGGGGUAAGAGCCCACCAAGCCGAUGAUGGGUAGCCGGCCUGAGAGGGUGAACGGCCACAUUGGGACUGAGAUACGGCCCAAACUCCUACGGGAGGCAGCAGCUAAGAAUAUUCCGCAAUGGACGAAAGUCUGACGGAGCGACGCCGCGUGAAUGACGAAGGCCGAAAGGUUGUAAAAUUCUUUUGCGGAUGAAGAAUAAGGCGGGGAGGGAAUGCCCUGCUGAUGACGUUAGUCUGCGAAUAAGCCCCGGCUAAUUACGUGCCAGCAGCCGCGGUAACACGUAAGGGGCGAGCGUUGUUCGGAAUUAUUGGGCGUAAAGGGCGCGUAGGCGGUUUUGCAAGCCCGGCGUGAAAGGCAGGAGCUUAACUUCUGGAUUGCGCCGGGAACUGUGAGACUGGAGUCAUGGAGGGGGAGUUGGAAUUCCUGGUGUAGGGGUGAAAUCUGUAGAUAUCAGGAAGAACACCGGUGGCGAAGGCGAAC
rnacentral:rRNA from 1 species